rnacentral:rRNA from 1 species
UACGGAGGAUGCAAGCGUUAUCCGGAUUCACUAGGUUUAAAGGGUGCGUAGGCGGAAUGAUAAGUCAGUGGUGAAAUCUUACGGCUCAACCGUGAAAUAGCCAUUGAUACUGUCGUUCUUGAGUACGGUUGAGGUAGGCGGAAUGAGUAAUGUAGCGGUGAAAUGCUUAGAUAUUACUCAGAACACCGAUUGCGAAGGCAGCUUACUAAGCCGUUACUGACGCUGAGUCACGAAAGCGUGGGGAGCGAACAGG